GUGCCAGCAGCCGCGGUACUACAGAGGGUGCAAGCGUUGUUCGGAAUUAUUGGGCGUAAAGCGCGUGUAGGCGGUCUCGCAAGUUGGGUGUGAAAGCCCUCGGCUCAACCGAGGAAGUGCGCCCAAAACUACAAGACUUGAGUACCGGAGAGGGUGGCGGAAUUCCCGGUGUAGAGGUGAAAUUCGUAGAUAUCGGGAGGAACACCAGUGGCGAAGGCGGCCACCUGGACGGAUACUGACGCUGAGACGCGAAAGCGUGGGUAGCAAACAGGAUUAGAUACCCUGGUAGUCCACGCUGUAAACGAUGAGCGCUAGGUGUUGUGGGUGUUGACCCCUGCAGUGCCGCAGCUAACGCAUUAAGCGCUCCGCCUGGGAAGUACGGCCGCAAGGCUAAA
rnacentral:rRNA from 1 species